UGUAGGAGUGAGCCUGCUCGCGAUGGCAGUGUGUCAGUUAAAUCAAUGUUGGCUGACUUUCCGCUAUCGCGAGCAGGCUCACUCCUACA
rnacentral:misc_RNA from 1 species